rnacentral:rRNA from 1 species
AUGAUGGAUGGAAAUGCUGAAGCUGAUUCUACCCUUAUUUUCGACAAAGAAACAUUGGAUAAAGUCUAUGAAAAAGUGGCUCCAUCGAUUGUGAAAGUCUUGGUAAAACCAUUUAGCACGGGAUUUGUUGUCUCGUCCACAGAGAAACAUAACAUGGUAGCUGUUUGUUCCAUGUUGUUAAUUGAGCGCAAAGAGAAGAUACAAGUCCGUUAUUCUGAUGGAGAUACUGCUGUUGUUGAUCAUACUGAAAAAGUCUCUAACAGUGGCAUGACUAUACUGUAUGCACGUAAAACUGGAAAGGCACGUCCAGCAGUACAAUUUGGAGUCUUGGAGGAUAUCAUAUGCCAAAAGAUUGUGAGUCUUUUUCCUUACAAGGACGGCCUCAUGAUGUUCAAAGGUCACAUAGGUUUAGAUGAUUGUACCUGUGAGGAUUCCAGUGGGAACAUUAUUCCAGGCCAAAAUGUCUUCUCAUUCACUUGUCCUGUGGGGGGUUCUUACUCGAAAGAUCCUGACACAGAUUCUGAUAUUAAGAAACGAUUCAUGGUACUGACUAUUGGUGCUCCUGUGUUUAACUUGGAUGGUGAAGUUCUUGGCAUGAUUGAUUGGUUUAGCCGAUCAUAUGAUCUGAAAUUUGCAAGAAAAUCAUCUGAGUUUCGUGAUGAACUUAAUAAACCAGGACGUGUGAACUGGCAGGGGGGGAGCCGUGGUGCAGGGCAGAGAUUGUGA